rnacentral:rRNA from 1 species
CACGAAGUUAGCCGGGGCUUCUUCUGUGGGUACCGUCAUUAUCGUCCCCACUGAAAGAAUUUUACAAUCCUAAGACCUUCAUCAUUCACGCGGCAUGGCUGCGUCAGGCUUUCGCCCAUUGCGCAAGAUUCCCCACUGCUGCCUCCCGUAGGAGUCUGGGCCGUGUCUCAGUCCCAGUGUGGCUGAUCAUCCUCUCAGACCAGCUACUGAUCGUAGCCUCGGUGAGCCUUUACCUCACCAACUAGCUAAUCAGACGCGGGCCGCUCUAAUGGCGAUAAAUCUUUCCCCCGAAGGGCACAUCCGGUAUUAGCUCAAGUUUCCCUGAGUUGUUCCGAACCAAAGGCACGUUCCCACGUGUUACUCACCCGUCUGCCACUGAUCCCGAAGGAUCCGUUCGACUUGCAUGUGUUAAGCCUGCCGCCAGCGUUCGCUCUGAGCCAGGAUCAAACUCU